rnacentral:rRNA from 1 species
CGAAUGGGGUGAUUCAUCGUCGACGAAGCCGGCUCCCGUUGGUGCGCGAUGCUCCGGAUGGAUCCUCGUGGUCCAUUAGCGAGGGCACGCCGUCUUCGGCUUGAAUGUUCCGGCAACGUAGUCGUGCACUUCUCCCCUAGUAGGACGUCGCGACCCGUUGUGUGUCGGUCUACGGUCCGAGUGGGCGCCUGUCGCGUCGCUUCUUGCGCACGUGGCAGACCCUCGGUCGCCUGGCCGGCUGCACGACGGUACUCGCACGGUAUCGGGCCGCAACCAAUCCAUUCUCGAAUGUGUGUGCGUCGGGCCCGCCGCAAGCUCGGUCAGUAUACCCGGAGGUGCGGACCUAGCGCCGUCCCCGGGCCUGACCAGCUGUUAGCAGGCGGUGUCCUCGGACUGGCCAAGCUUCGAAUUACCGGUCGGCGACGCUAUUGCUUUGGGUACUCUCAGGACCCGUCUUGAAACACGGACCAAGGAGUCUAACAUGUGCGCGAGUCAUUGGGAUGCAUAAACCUAAAGGCGAAAUGAAAGUGAAGGUCGACCUUCGCGUCGACCUAGGGAGGAUGGGCCGCGUUACGAUGCGGCCUCGCACUCACGGGGCGUUUCGUUCUCAUUGCGAGAAGAGGCGCACCUAGAGCGUACACGUUGGGACCCGAAAGAUGGUGAACUAUGCCUGGUCAGGACGAAGUCAGGGGAAACCCUGAUGGAGGUCCGUAGCGAUUCUGACGUGCAAAUCGAUCGUCGGAACUGGGUAUAGGGGCGAAAGACUAAUCGAACCAUCUAGUAGCUGGUUCCCUCCGAAGUUUCCCUCAGGAUAGCUGGCACUCGCUCGUUCCUAUUGAACGCGUGCGAGUCUCAUCUGGUAAAGCGAAUGAUUAGAGGCCUUGGGGCCGAAACGACCUCAACCUAUUCUCAAACUUUAAAUGGGUGAGAUCUCUGGCUUGCUUGGAUUAUGAAGCCACGAGAUUUUGGAUCAGAGUGCCAAGUGGGCCAAUUUUGGUAAGCAGAACUGGCGCUGUGGGAUGAACCAAACGCAGAGUUAAGGCGCCUAAGUCGACGCUUAUGGGAUACCAUGAAAGGCG